rnacentral:rRNA from 1 species
UACGGGGGGAGCAAGCGUUGUUCGGAUUUACUGGGCGUAAAGGGCGCGUAGGCGGCCACUGCAAGUCAGUUGUGAAAUCUCCGGGCUUAACCCGGAAAGGUCAACUGAUACUGCAGGGCUAGAGUGCAGAAGGGGCAACUGGAAUUCUCGGUGUAGCGGUGAAAUGCGUAGAUAUCGAGAGGAACACCUGCGGCGAAGGCGGGUUGCUGGGCCGACACUGACGCUGAUGUGCGAAAGCUAGGGGAGCGAACGGG